rnacentral:lncRNA from 1 species
GUGUUGUCAUGGAAAAUUCUAGAACACUCUAUAAUGGAACAUUGUGGAAAAUCCUGGAAAGUUACAACGGAAGUUUCUGGAAUAACGUAGAAGUUUAAAUUACGCAUCUUUUAUCAGGAUCAUUCUAGAAAGUUCCAAUCAUUCUGUGAUUGUUCCAGUGAUUCAUAAACUGCACAGUUAUAAGAUUAUUUGGUAAACAACUAUCAGGCCAUACAACACAAAUUAGGCCAACAUAAAUAAACAUAAUAAUUACAAUAUCAUAACACCUCCCCCC